UCCAGACUCCUACGGGAGGCAGCAGUGGGGAAUAUUGGGCAAUGGGCGCAAGCCUGACCCAGCAACGCCGCGUGAAGGAAGAAGGCUUUCGGGUUGUAAACUUCUUUUGUCAGGGACGAAGCAAGUGACGGUACCUGACGAAUAAGCCACGGCUAACUACGUGCCAGCAGCCGCGGUAAUACGUAGGUGGCAAGCGUUAUCCGGAUUUACUGGGUGUAAAGGGCGUGUAGGCGGGACUGCAAGUCAGAUGUGAAAACCCGCGGCUCAACCGCGGAACUGCAUUUGAAACUGUUAGUCUUGAGUACCGGAGAGGUCAUCGGAAUUCCUUGUGUAGCGGUGAAAUGCGUAGAUAUAAGGAAGAACACCAGCGGCGAAGGCGGAUGACUGGACGGCAACUGACGGUGAGGCGCGAAAGCGUGGGGAGCAAACAGGAUUAGAUACCCCUGUAC
rnacentral:rRNA from 1 species